UACAGCCACAUCACGUUGAAAGACCGGUUCUGGUACGAUCACCGAAGUUAAGCAACGUUGAGUCUGGUCAGUACCUAGAUGUGUCACCGCUUUGGAAUACCAG